AUGUGCUGUUUAGGCAUCUAUAACCUUUUACAAGUCCUGAGCUUCGGGGGCGGGACCGGUGAGCCCCAGCCACAGGUCGCAGGGCUCAGCCUGUCUGCCACGGUCCUGGUGAACUUGGCGCCUAGCCCGCUCCAGUCCUACCUGUGCCUCGUGUGCCUGGACAAGCCCAUCAGUUACAAGGACAGCAAAUCGCCAAUUGCUGCUGGAGACAUUUCAACCUUCCAGUCCUUCAUCUUCCUUGGGGGACAGCUGACCUUGGCACUGGGUGUUCUCCUGUGUUUGAACUACUACAGUAUAACAAUGGGAGCAACGUCCUUACUUCUUGUCGUCACUUACCCAAUAAGGAAAAGAAUCACGUUUUGACCUCAGACAGCCUUGGGUUGACUUUUAAUUGGGGUGCAUUACUCAGAUGGUCUACUGCCCAGUGCUCCUAUGACCCAGCUGUAUGCCUGCCUCUUUAUUUUUCUGGAGUUAUAUGGACACUGAUAUAUGGUACUAAUUAAUGCUCACCAGAAGAAGAAAGCUGAUGCUCUGAUUGGCCUGAAGUCCACAGCACUGCUGUUCAGGGAGAACACCAAGCAGUGGCUCAGUGGCUUUGGGGUCGCCAUGGUGUGAGGACUGAGCCUGAUGGGAGCCACCAGUGGUACUGUUCCCUACAAUGCUGCUGUGGCUGUGGUGUGGGAGUCCACCAGGCUCACCAGAUUUACACUGUAGACAUCCGCAGAGCAGAGGACUGCUGGGAUAAGUUCACCUCCAACCGCACAGUAGGAAUGCUCCUGAUCUUAGGGAUUGUCCUUAGAAAUCUGUGCAAAGAAAAGACAAAAGAAGCAAAAGAAGCUGAGGCUGUUGGAGUAGAAAGUGAGCAGACAAGCUGAGCUCAGUCCCUCAGGAAGCAGAGGCAGGAAAAGUGUGAGGUCAAGG